UCUUUUUUCGAACUGUAAUUUUUCCUUGUAGGAUAAAAUCUUGAGGAAGUCUUGGUCUCCAAUAGUGAAUUUUGAAGGUCUUCUAACAUUAUCAGUGUAAUUUUUCUAGCAACUUUGGGCGAUAGUCAAGUUCCUACGGAUGGUUGCAGCCUUUUCAAUAGUCUCCUGGAUGAAGUUUUGUCCUAAAUGACAUCGGUUUCUAACUUCACUAAAGCAAGUGGGAGAACGACAGGGCUUACCAUAUAAGGCUUCAUACGGAGUCAUGCCGAUGUUAAAGUGGUAACUGUUAU
rnacentral:lncRNA from 1 species